rnacentral:rRNA from 1 species
UACAGAGGUCUCAAGCGUUGGUCGGAUUCAUUGGGCGUAAAGGGUGCGUAGGCGGCGCGGUAAGUCGGGUGUGAAAUCUCGGGGCUUAACUCCGAAACUGCAUUCGAUACUGCCGUGCUUGAGGACUGGAGAGGAGACUGGAAUUUACGGUGUAGCGGUGAAAUGCGUAGAUAUCGUAAGGAAGACCAGUGGCGAAGGCGGGUCUCUGGACAGUUCCUGACGCUGAUGCACGAAGGCCAGGGGAGCAAACGGG